rfam:Paxillus rubicundulus Ve08.2h10 scaffold_122_c1, whole genome shotgun sequence.
GGAUUUGUAUCUCAGUUGGAAGAGUGCCACUGUACUAUGCUGGAGGCCACAGAUUCAAUCCCUGUCUACUCCA